UACGUAGGGGGCAAGCGUUGUUCGGAAUUACUGGGCGUAAAGGGCGCGUAGGCGGCUUAACAAGUCACUUGUGAAAUCUCCGGGCUUAACUCGGAACGGCCAAGUGAAACUGUCAAGCUAGAGUGCAGAAGGGGCAAUCGGAAUUCUUGGUGUAGCGGUGAAAUGCGUAGAUAUCAGGAGGAACACCGGUGGCGAAGGCGGAUCUCUGGGCCGUAACUGACGCUGGAGGAGCGAAAGCAUGGGGAGCGAACAGG
rnacentral:rRNA from 1 species